UGACCUAAUAAGAUAGUUAAUCAUCAUUGGACUGAUGAAAAAAGCCAACUAACUAUUUAAAGAGAGACUUUAACAGCAGAUAAAGGGAAGGACUUGUGGCUGUUGCUGUAGGAUUCAAAGUCCAGGUGACGAUUUUGAAUAAAACAUUGGAGACAAGUGAAAACCUUCACAUGAUAUUUGUAGUUCAAUGAUGG